AUUGAACGCUGGCGGCAGGCCUAACACAUGCAAGUCGAGCGGGGUUUUCGGACCUAGCGGCGGACGGGUGAGUAAUGCGUAGGAAGCUGCCCGAUAGAGGGGGAUACCAGUUGGAAACGACUGUUAAUACCGCAUAAUGUCUACGGACCAAAGUGUGGGACCUUCGGGCCACAUGCUAUCGGAUGCGCCUACGUGGGAUUAGCUAGUUGGUGAGGUAAUGGCUGACCAAGGCGACGAUCUCUAGCUGGUUUGAGAGGAUGAUCAGCCACACUGGAACUGAGACACGGUCCAGACUCCUACGGGAGGCAGCAGCGGGGAAUAUUGGACAAUGGGCGCAAGCCUGAUCCAGCCAUGCCGCGUGUGUGAAGAAGGCCUUCGGGUUGUAAAGCACUUUCAGCGAGGAGGAAGGGUGAUGUGUUAAUAGCACAUCAUUUUGACGUUACUCGCAGAAGAAGCACCGGCUAACUCUGUGCCAGCAGCCGCGGUAAAAC
rnacentral:rRNA from 1 species